rnacentral:rRNA from 1 species
CAGCCGCCACGGUAAUACGGAGGGAGCUAGCGUUGUUCGGAAUUACUGGGCGUAAAGCGCGCGUAGGCGGUUACUCAAGUCAGAGGUGAAAGCCCGGGGCUCAACCCCGGAACUGCCUUUGAAACUAGGUGACUAGAAUCUUGGAGAGGUCAGUGGAAUUCCGAGUGUAGAGGUGAAAUUCGUAGAUAUUCGGAAGAACACCAGUGGCGAAGGUGGCUCACUGGACCAGUAUUGACGCUGAGGUGCGAAAGCGUGGGGAGCAAACAGGAUUAGAUACCCCCGUAGUCCCUGUCUCUUAUAA